UACGAAGGGGGCUAGCGUUGUUCGGAAUCACUGGGCGUAAAGCGCACGUAGGCGGCUUUGUAAGUUAGAGGUGAAAGCCCGGGGCUCAACCCCGGAACUGCCUUUAAGACUGCAUCGCUAGAAUCGUGGAGAGGUGAGUGGAAUUCCGAGUGUAGAGGUGAAAUUCGUAGAUAUUCGGAAGAACACCAGUGGCGAAGGCGACUCACUGGACACGUAUUGACGCUGAGGUGCGAAAGCGUGGGGAGCAAACAGG
rnacentral:rRNA from 1 species